rnacentral:rRNA from 1 species
GAUGAACGCUAGCUACAGGCUUAACACAUGCAAGUCGAGGGGCAGCAUGGUCUUAGCUUGCUAAGACUGAUGGCGACCGGCGCACGGGUGAGUAACGCGUAUCCAACCUUCCCCGCAGUAGGGGAUAGCCCGGCGAAAGUCGGAUUAAUACCCUAUGUUCUCCUUUGAUGGCAUCUGACGAGGAGUAAAGAUUUAUCGCUGCGGGAUGGGGAUGCGUCUGAUUAGGCAGCAGGCGGGGUAACGGCCCACCUGGCCUACGAUCAGUAGGGGUUCUGAGAGGAAGGUCCCCCACACUGGUACUGAGACACGGACCAGACUCC